UGCUGCGACAUUGGCUGAUGACUCAGUUAGAAAACGCUUGAACGAUUUUUCCAGGAUUCUGAAAUAGUUUUAGAUAUGGCCAUGUGUUCAAAGUUUUUAUUUGAACCUAUAUAGCUCACGGUGAGGAGCUGAUUGACUAUCUUGCAUUAUUUCUCUUUCAAAAUGUGUAAUGAAUUGAUUUUUUAUACUCUAGUGUAUUGAGACCCUUUUAAAAUUAAUAUCGUCCUUUCUACUAGUGAUGACAAAGAAUGAGCCACAAGACCAGUUUCUUUCUCAUCACUAUUAAAGUUUUUAUUUUUUACUGAAGUGAUGCACAGUGCCAUCGUUCUGAUGCCUAAAUAAAGGGAGAGGUACCUCUUUUGGUACUUGAAUAUCAUUCUCCCGCAACUUUUAUGUUCUAUAUACAUACAAUAAAACCUAAUUAAGGCAAUCCCAUACACGAAUUUGUAUCAUAAGUUCGAGGAAAACAAAAAAAGAUGAUGUGAUAAAAAUGCGUGUAUUUGUAUGUUUAUAUAUGAUACACCUUGAAAAUAAAGAUACUUCGGCCAGUAAAUCUUUUUAUUACAUCGACGUUUCGACAAAAAUAUUUUAUCCUCGUCAGGAGCAAACAAAAAUGAAAACAUUUGGCAAGGCGUUAAAAUUCAUUCUUGUUUUGUUUGCUCCUGACGAGAACAAAAGAUUUUUGUCGAAACGUCGAGGUAAUAAAAAGAUUUACUGACCGAAGUGUUUUUAUUUUCAAGAACUAUGAAUGCCGGCCAGGCAGCCUCUAUAUUUACGAUAAAUGAUACAUGUAUACGAGGGCUCCAAGACAGAAGAAGAAUCAGAACACGACUCGAGUGAGAUUUUUGAGCCGAAGAAUGACAAUCAAAGAAGAUCACGAGUCAGAGGUUGGACCGAAGAAAAACAAUCAGGUCACGACUCUAGUUGAUUGUUGUAUAUAUCGUAUAUGUAUACAUAAGCUUUUAUUAAGAAUUUCGUCUAAUGCAAAAAUUCCUUAACUGAAGAACAGAGAGCUUCAAAACUUUCAGAUGGGGGGAACCUAUUUACAAAAUUUUCAAGUUAUAGUAUCUAUUGAUAUCUGUGAGGCUGUUUAUGAGUUUAUCACUCAUUCCGUGAUAUCUGACCAUCUUGUAUAUUUUGUCUGUUAGGAAGUUUAAUAUCUUGAAGUGGCUCGAGAAAUUCUUCAGCUGCGACGUGUAGCAAGAAUAAGUGUCUGACGCCCCGACCACCAAAAUAUCUUCGAUAUUUAUUGUCCUGCAGAGACUUGCUGACAAUUUUGGACGAUGGUGGAGACACUGUCUCUCAAACCAUCCUUCACUUUUUCUUGGUUAUCAUUUUUCUACACUCUCUCGUUAAUUAAACCUGAGCUAAAUUGAUUAUCAAGUUGAGAGAAAGAGAGCUCCCUUAAAAUUACUUUGUUUUUGUCUCUUUCUCUGGUUGAUCCUGCCAAUAGUCAUAUGCUUGUUUCAAAGAUUGAGCCAUGCAUGUCUAUGUACAUGCUUUAGAAAGUUGAAACUACGAAAGGCUCAUUAAAUCUGUUUUGGUUUCUUAGAUUGUACAUGUUUACUUGGAAAAUUGUCUUUCUUUCUCUGGUUGAUCCUGCCAAUAGUCAUAUGCUUGUUUCAAAGAUUGAGCCAUACAUGUGUAAGUAAACGCCCUUGCAAUUUGAAACUACGAAAGGCUCAUUCAAUCAGUUAUGGUUCCUUAGAUUGUACACAUUUACUUGGAAAAUUGUCUUUCUUUCUCUGGUUGAUCCUCCCAAUAGUCAUAUGCUUGUCUCAAGGAUUGAGCCAUGCAUGUUUAAGUAAACGCCCUUGCAAGUUGAAACUACGAAAGGCUCAUUAAAUCUGUUAUGGUUUCUUAGAUUGUACAUAUUUACUUGGAAAAUUGUCUUUCUUUCUCUGGUUGAUCCUGCCAAUAGUCAUAUGCUUGUUUCAAGGAUUGAGCCAUGCAUGUUUAAGUAAACGCCCUUGCAAGUUGAAACUACGAAUGGCUCAUUAAAUGAUUUAUGUUUCCUUAGAUCGUAAACAUUUACUUGGAAAACUGUUUCUCUUUCUCUUUGUGGUUGAUCCUGCCAAUAGUCAUAUGCUUGUUUCAAGGAUUGAGCCAUGCAUGUUUAAGUAAACGCCCUUGCAAGUUGAAACUACGAAAGACUCAUUAAAUCUGUUUUGGUUCCUUAGAUUGUACAUAUUUACUUGGAAAAUUGUCUUUCUUUCUCUGGUUGAUCCUGCCAAUAGUCAUAUGCUUGUCUCAAAGAUUGAGUCAUGCAUGUCUAUGUACAUGCUUUAGCAAGUUGAAACUACGAAAGGCUCAUUAAAUCUGUUAUGGUUCCUUAGAUUGUACACAUUUACUUGGAAAAUUGUCUUUCUUUCUCUGGUUGAUCCUGCCAAUAGUCAUAUGCUUGUUUCAAAGAUUGAGCCAUGCAUGUUUAAGUAAACGCCCUUGCAAGUUGAAACUACGAAAGACUCAUUAAAUCUGUUUUGGUUCCUUAGAUUGUACAUAUUUACUUGGAAAAUUGUCUUUCUUUCUCUGGUUGAUCCUGCCAAUAGUCAUAUGCUUGUCUCAAAGAUUGAACCAUACAUGUCUAUGUACAUGCUUUAGCAAGUUGAAACUACGAAAGGCUCAUUCAAUCAGUUAUGGUUCCUUAGAUUGUACACAUUUACUUGGAAAAUUGUAUUUCUUUCUCUGGUUGAUCCUGCCAAUAGUCAUAUGCUUGUUUCAAGGAUUGAGUCAUGCAUGUUUAAGUAAACGCCCUUGCAAGUUGAAACUACGAAAGGCUCAUUCAAUCAGUUAUGGUUCCUUAGAUUGUACAUAUUUACUUGGAAAAUUGUCUUUCUUUCUCUGGUUGAUUCUGCCAAUAGUCAUAUGCGCUUGUCUCAAAGAUUGAGUCAUGCAUGUCUAUGUACAUGCUUUAGCAAGUUGAAACUACGAAAGGCUCAUUAAAUCUGUUAUGGUUCCUUAGAUUGUACACAUUUACUUGGUUUUUAUAUCUCUCUCUCUCUCUCUGAGAAGAGGUCUGUCUGAAGCAAUUCCUCGACAUGGCAAUAGCACAUGUCGGGGAGAAAUCCGAUCUGUCAGACUUCAGGACGUGACAUCAUAACAAACGACCAUCAAUGGGAUUCCUCUGAUGAAAAUUAUAUUUAAUUUUACUUUUUCCCCCUAUUAACCUUAUUAAUCUCAUAUGUAUGGUCAAUAAAAGUAUAUUCAAUCUCAAUCUCUCUGGUUGAUCCUGCCAACAGUCAUAUACUUGUCUCAAGGAUUGAGCCAUUCAUGUCUAAGUACACGCCCUAGAAAGACGAAACUACGAAUGGCUCAUUAAAUCUGUUAUGGUCCCAUAGAUUGUAUACAUUUAUUUGGAAAAUUGUCUUUCUUUCUCUGGUUGAUCCUGCCAACAGUCAUAUACUUGUCUCAAGGAUUGAGCCAUUCAUGUCUAAGUACACGCCCUAGAAAGACGAAACUACGAAUGGCUCAUUAAAUCUGUUAUGGUCCCAUAGAUUGUAUACAUUUAUUUGGAAAAUUGUCUUUCUUUCUCUGGUUGAUCCUGCCAACAGUCAUAUGCUUGUCUCAAGGAUUGAGCCAUUCAUGUCUAAGUACACGCCCUAGAAAGACGAAACUACGAAUAGCUCAUUAAAUCUGUUAUGGUCCCAUAGAUUGUAUACAUUUAUUUGGAAAAUUGUCUUUCUUUCUCUGGUUGAUCCUGCCAACAGUCAUAUGCUUGUCUCAAGGAUUGAGCCAUUCAUGUCUAAGUACACGCCCUAGAAAGACGAAACUACGAAUGGCUCAUUAAAUCUGUUAUGGUCCCAUAGAUUGUAUACAUUUAUUUGGAAAAUUGUCUUUCUUUCUCUGGUUGAUCCUGCCAGUAGUCAUAUGCUUGUCUCAAAGAUUGAGCCAUUCAUGUCUAAGUACACGCCCUAGAAAGACGAAACUACGAAUGGCUCAUUAAAUCUGUUAUGGUCCCAUAGAUUGUAUACAUUUAUUUGGAAAAUUGUCUUUCUUUCUCUGGUUGAUCCUGCCAGUAGUCAUAUGCUUGUCUCAAAGAUUGAGCCAUACAUUCCUAAGUAAGUACACGCUCUAGCAAGGCGAAACUACGAAAGGCUCAUUAAAUCAGUUAUAGUUCCUUAGAUUGUAUACAUUUACUUGGUUCUUGUCUCUCUCUUUCUCUCAGGCGUCAUGUAAAACGUAGAACUCUUUUCCUUUUUUCUUAUCUCCACUCAAUCAUAUUAGGGUAUCAAGCUUGUAGAGCUUGUUGAUGUUGUCUGCUGGGGAUGAGUAGAGCUCAUCAAUGGAUGAUCCAAUACAGUCAAUGAUGUGGUGUUUGACAACUAUCAUGACUGGGUGAAGUAGAAUGCGCUUGCUUUUGUCAUUAAGACUGGGAGCACUACUCAGUGGCAGGCCGACUUAGCUCCAAUAUGAAAUGGCUGUCUCUAACAUGAGGAACAGAUGCCAUGUGUAGCCGCUCCUAACAUGGAGUACAAACGCUGUUCAUCCUGUAUCCCUGGAUCAGGAGACCUUACAGGGUACUAUCAGCUGGGCCAGCUGAGCCCAGGUUUUUUAGCGAGCUUUUUCUGGGCUUGGGACCGGCAAAGGCGUAGUUAAAACGUAGAACUAACUUCCAAGAACAACUUACCAUUCAAGUUUUAUUUCCCCAGAGAUAUCAUAUGUUUGAUUGCGUACACAUAUCUCUACAGUUACCUAUUUUGAUAUCCGAGAGAAUUCUUUAGUAGAUGCCAAUGGUAGAGAGAAUCAACCUGUCAGAGAAUAUCGACGUCUUCCCCAGAAAUUGUAGAGUACGUUCAUUAAUGAGUGCUGCAAUAAUUGUUUGUUUGUCCGACGUCUAAUUGCAGGGCUGCCGCCUUCAUUCUUCAAAAUGUUCCCAACUCAGGAGGAUAAUCAUUCCCGUCCUUCAUUACAGCGUCCUACGUAAUUAAAUGGGACCCCCGAUAAUUGGGACCCCUUGUUGGACCGACACACCCCGUGCACUCACGCUCCAGGAGCUGCUUGCUUUCAUACACACGUUGCGUAUGAUGGAAAAUAAUCGAAGUGUGAGAAAGCAUACACAACUUGAAAGAAUGAAUAAUUUGAAUCGAGUUUUGUACAUUGUAUUUUUUAAAAAUAGAACAUACAAGUUGUGUCUAUUAUUUUGAUAUGAUUAUUGAUAAUAUUAAAAUAAGAGAAUAAUUUGUUAAUAAGCAAAGAGAGCGUAACUUUUUUUUUUUUUUAGUAAGGCAAGCUUUAGAGAAAUUUUCUCUUCUAGGGGUUUACGCUCAUUGACAAAACUUAAGGAAGUCAAAAGUUUUUGAUGCUAUCAUUUUUUUUUUUUGAAGGAGACAGAGGAAAUUUUGUUCACACUUGGUUAUCUUGUGUGUCUUCAAUAAAGGUCACUGUAAUAUCUUUCAGAGUUAUUGUCUGAAUCCCGAUAUACAUGCUAAAAGGUACAACUUCCUUUACGUCUUGUUCACACUUGGUUAUCUUGUGUGUCUUCAAUAAAGGUCACUGUAAUAUCUUUCAGAGUUAUUGUCUGUAUCCCAAUAUACAUGCUAAAAGGUACAACUUCCUUUAAGUCUUGUUCACACUUGGUUAUCUUGUGUGUCUUCAAUAAAGGUCACUGUAAUAUCUUUCAGAGUUAUUGUCUGAAUCCCGAUAUACAUGCUAAAAGGUAGAACUUCCUUAAGUCAUGUUCACACUUGGUUAUCUUGUGUGUCUUCAAUAAAGGUCACUGUAAUAUCUUUCAGAGUUAUUGUCUGAAUCCCGAUAUACAUGCUAAAAAGGUACAACUUCCUUUAAGUCUUGUUCACACUUGGUUAUCUUGUGUGUCUUCAAUAAAGGUCACUGUAAUAUCUUUCAGAGUUAUUGUCUGAAUCCCGAUAUACAUGCUAAAAGGUACAACUUCCUUAAGUUUUGUUCAUGAGUGUAUCUAGUGUGUCUUCAAUAAAGGUCACUGUAAUAUCUUUCAGAGUUAUUGUCUGAAUACCGAUAUACAUGUUAAAAGGUACAACUUCCUUAAGUUUUGUCUAUAAGUGUAGAUCGUUUGCAUUCUUGUUGUUCAAGAUAGAUAAUAAGUGUCUAUGUAGACCGACAUUUUCGAUGCAAAUGAUUAAGUCUUUUUAUAAGGACAAUUGAAGCCUCUGGCAUGACUAACUGUUCCUCAGGUAUGUACUAGAUUGUCCUCCCAGCCGGCCGGCUUGACUAAAUGACAAACGUGACCUCGGGAGACAGAAUUAUGUACUACAAAGGUAUUGCAGCGUAAUUCCACUCAGUGAUUAUCCUCUCUGCCCAAAUUUGGUGCUAAUUGGAUAUAACAGAGGUCGGGCCAUGACUCGGAGCAUGACUUGGACUCUUUUUUAUACAUAUAUAAAAAGAUAUGUUUCACUUAGCGACGUACCGUUUAACAAAUCCACAUUUAUGUCGGACUCCAUAACCUAAAUUCUGAUUCGUCGCUUCGUAUUAGAUAUCUAAAGUUUAACGUUUAACAAUUAAAUUUACUAGCAAUAUUUUCCUUUUUAAUAAUUUUAUAACGUAUAAAAUUAGGAAAAAGACAAACUUCAGGAUGACACAGCGUUUUUUUUUUAAGUCACAAACAUAAAUUAUAAUUGAUAAAAUACAAAAGAAAGAAUGCAUUUUUUUUUUAUAUCAGAAAAAAAGUGCCCAAUGCGGGAAUCGAACCCUGGUCGUAGCGGUCGAAAACCAACAGUUUAGACCAUCCUUCCACCGACCCCCCUUUAUGUUCAUAGUUUACUUGAAUACCAAUACUCCGUAAAAAGUUUAUUUUCUAAUUUAUUAUCAUUGGUAAACUUUCGAGUUAAAGAACUCUUUUACAGGCAUUUCUUUCAAGUAUAUACAUUUCAAACUAGAUAUUUGUAAAUCUUAAAUGCGAUAGAAUAUAUACAUAUGCAGUGAUUAUUAAUAUAAGAAAAUUCCUUUUGCCUUUAUUCUUUGUCUUUUCUAUAGUGAAAGUUCUGAGGUCACACAUAAUGUUCCUGGACCCUAUAUUCUGGAGCACAAUGGUCGCUAGCACAGAGCAGGUCAAUAAAUCCUUUCCAGGAAAUUGCUGUCGCCCUUCCCGAGAACAUAAUCUCGACACCGACUGAUGUCUGGAUUCUAUUUUAUAUUUUUGAAAUAUAUUCUUCCAUUCUUUUUAGUGAGGAUUGGGUUGUUGGUUAGAUGAAUGGUAUGUACCGUUCAUUUUCGAUAGUCCUACGACUUGGAAUCAAAUUCCACGCAUUGGGAAUUUUUUCCUGAAUAAAAAAAAAUGCUUAAAUGGCUUACGAUACUCUUGUAAAAGUUUUACUGCUGUUACUAAUUGUGUGUAAUAAGAACUUCUUUAACUACAUAAAGACAAAAGUCAUAUAUACAUACACAAAGCUUUAUUAAGACCACCGGUCUUAUACAGAUUCACCACAGGAAGAAAUAAUAGAGCUCCUAUACUCCAGGCAGCGCAGCACCCAACAACAGCCUCCAGGUCCGACGCAUGUCCAAUGGCCACACGUUCCUUCGUGCAUACGUCAUGGUUAGCAUAUCGGAAGGUGUAUAAUCUACGAUGGAAAUUCUGUGGAGAGAAUCUGGAACUUGUAACUUUGUUCAUUUUAAAAUUUCAGCCAUCAUUCAGGCCUCAGCAAACAUCCACAAAACUUCUCCUUUCUUUUUUUCAACCUGUCCCUUAGAGAGAAAGAUAGAAAUAGAUGGCGUAAAAAAACAAAUAAUUUGCGAUUAGGAAAUAAGUACCAAAAAAAAAAACUUCUUGUGGCUAAUAAUUCAAUACCAAGGACAAAUGAGCAACAAUUUCUUCGCCUUCAUUUGCAAUUGCGUUUAGUUUAUCUUUGCCGAAGGGUAGGUAUAAAUACAAGGUGUCAUUAGGGAGACGUGAGGCAAGGUAAGUACAUACUCUCUUGUCAAACUCGCCAGUGCCAGAACAAAAGGAGUUGAUUGGGAAGGCAAACAUCGCCACCUACAUCGAACAAGGUCCAAUCCAAACAAAAGAACGACAACUACGGGCGUGACAAGCCCUCGACCCAGACGUGCCAGCUUGCCUCUUGAUCGAGAUGUUUCCCACCAAAGCCCUCUCUGUCUCUCUAAAGAGAACGCCCCUCAGCCUAUCUAAAUUGGCAACGGUGGAACAAUCGCAGACCACGAUAAGAUGAACUCUAG